rnacentral:rRNA from 1 species
GAGUAACACGUGGAUAACCUACCUAUAAGACUGGGAUAAYUUCGGGAAACCGGAGCUAAUACCGGAUAAUAUUUUGAACCGCAKGGUUCAAAAGUGAAAGACGGUCUUGCUGUCACUUAUAGAUGGAUCCGCGCUGCAUUAGCUAGUUGGUAAGGUAACGGCUUACCAAGGCAACGAUGCAUAGCCRACCUGAGAGGGUGAUCGGCCACACUGGAACUGAGACACGGUCCARACUCCUACGGGAGGCAGCAGUAGGGAAUCUUCCGCAAUGGGCGAAAGCCUGACGGAGCAACGCCGCGUGAGUGAUGAAGGUCUUCGGAUCGUAAAACUCUGUUAUUAGGGAARAACAUAUGUGUAAGUAACUGUGCACAUCUUGACGGUACCUAAUCARAAAGCCACGGCUAACUACGUGCCAGCAGCCGCGGUAAUACGUAGGUGGCAAGCGUUAUCCGGAAUUAUUGGGCGUAAAGCGCGC